rnacentral:rRNA from 1 species
GAUGAACGCUGGCGGCGUGCCUAAUACAUGCAAGUCGAGCGAACAGACGAGGAGCUUGCUCCUCUGACGUUAGCGGCGGACGAGUGAGUAACACGUGGAUAACCUACCUAUAAGACUGGGAUAACUUCGGGAAACCGGAGCUAAUACCGGAUAAUAUAUUGAACCGCAUGGUUCAAUAGUGAAAGACGGUUUUGCUGUCACUUAUAGAUGGAUCCGCGCCGCAUUAGCUAGUUGGUAAGGUAACGGCUUACCAAGGCGACGAUGCGUAGCCGACCUGAGAGGGUGAUCGGCCACACUGGAACUGAGAAACGGUCCAGACUCCUACGGGAGGCAGCAGUAGGGAAUCUUCCGCAAUGGGCGAAAGCCUGACGGAGCAACGCCGCGUGAGUGAUGAAGGUCUUCGGAUCGUAAAACUCUGUUAUUAGGGAAGAACAAAUGUGUAAGUAACUAUGCACGUCUUGACGGUACCUAAUCAGAAAGCCACGGCUAACUACGUG